UGUAAGUGGACUGAACUUCUGCGGCGAUGUAAACUAAAGAAUAUUCCUAAAUGCACCCAACUUUAAUCCUACACUGAGAUUUAUUUAAUAAUGAAAGAAAAAAACGUUUUAAAAAUUUGGAUAUGACAUAUCUGGACCUUCGAGCAGGAAUUAAACUUUUUUUUUUUUACAAAAAAUAUUCUAAAAGAAAACUUGGGACUGAGUGUGUGAGCCUCAACACUGUCACUAUAACCUCUGAGAUCUAAAAGCAGGUAAGCCACUGACUAACGCACAUUGCGCCCAUUGCCAGUUCCACUGUGCGUGUGACAGCGGCUAACCUGGUUUUGGGAGUACCGCUCACUCCGCCGCACCUUCAGACCAGCCUCAUCCGGGCAAGGCAGACACCUAGAAAUACAUGCUGUUCUAGAUCAUGUCCUAUGCGCUGCUGGGAAAGGCCUGAUCCACUCAAAUGCCCUCCCAGCGGUCUCCACUUGUACUGAAGCCAAUUUCCUACUAUGCUGACAAACCUUAUUUAGGACCCAAGUGGCUUUUGCUUUGCCUUUGGCCUUUUGCCAUCAGUUGAGGCUGCUGGUGAGUUUUGUUUCAGUUUCUGUUUCGUAAUUGUGGGGUUGAUCAGUUUUGUUCUUAGUUGUGACAAAUUAGAGGUUUCUGGGUAUUCAGAAAAGUUGCUAUUAUUACAUCAGUGGCAGUUUUUUUUUUUUUUAUAUAAGAGAUAUGGCUUUCUGUCCAGGGCAGCAUGGAAUGGAGGGCACCAUGCAGCUAAAAAAAGUCAUCAGUUCACAAAUUAUACUGAUAUCCAGUUCUUGACUUAUGAUUUAUGAAUCUGGACUCCCUUACACCAUUUCUAGUACAAAAUCUAAUAAACUACGACUGUGUAGUUCAAAAAUGGACUUAUUCCACACGGAACAUUGAGUGUGUUCUAUAAAACACACUUUGAGAUUUGUGAAACUACUCUUUUUUUCUGAAAAUAUAGAAAAAAGCUGAUUUCGAUACUUACACUGCAUUAGGACCAGCUUAAAUUGAGACACAUGUUAAAUGAACAACACAGAGACUGGUCAAAUUUGGACUGAAUUAUUCUACAGUAAGCACAGAUUCUUUGAAGCAGAGUUUGUGAGGUCAACACGAGGCAUAGCAACAGAGCGGGCUCAUAUGCAGGGGCCAUUAGGCCUUGUCACAGCCAUCCAGGGUGCGACUCCUGACCUCAGAAGCCUUGCUGGAUGUCCUACCCUUCUUUCUCUGCCUCUUUCCAGUCUGAACCCUUCAAUCAAAGGCAACUAUUGCCAUAAAACAUAGUUCAUGUAGAAAAGGGUAAUCUUAGUUUUCUCAAAGUAUUGUAGAAAUCUAUAUCUAAAUCUCUUUAUUUUCAUCAGUCGAGACAAUCAAAGUUCUUUAGCUUUUAAUGCUCUAAUGAGUGACAUAGUAUAAAGUGUUUUUUUGCAGAUGUGUGUUUGGUUGUGUGUGGGGUAGGAGAAGUAGGGGCUUACCCAGGGUGCCAUUCAAGUGUGAUACAUGAAACCGCUGAACUUGGCUUCAGAACAAAAUGCAUAAAGGUAGUCAGGUCAUUUUCUUUCCUGACCUUUGCAUGGAAAUAAACCAUAUUUACCUAAUUUAUGAGUAACAUCUUAUAGUUGGUGCAAUGUGUAUUUCUACAUGCCUAAAGUGAGAAGUAAAGUUGUGACUUAAAAGCA